UCUCUUUGGCCAGAGAAUUGUGAUUUUGGGCGGCAAAUCAUUUUCCUCAUUUCUCAGCCAUUUUGUUAAAGCGCUGUUAUGUUCUUCAAUAUGGAAACUCCAAUCAAUUAGCAAUCAGUUGAAUUCUUCUCCAAUACGUUUCAAUCAAUCCUUAAAACCCUAAAACCUAAAUCACUGCCGUUAUCAAUUUUGGCGAUUUCACAUCAAAGGACGAAUUUCAUUCUGUGUUCAUAUUUCUUAUAUCAGUUUCCUCUUCAUUUGAUUUCAACAGUUCUCAAUCAGAUCACAUCAAAUCGGAUCAAAUCGGAUCGGAUCGGAAGACUCUGUUGUACAGUGUUAACAAUGAUAAGGAAUACGAUCUGUACGUGGAUUUUGGAGAUGUAUGUCUAAACCAGCAUGGCAGCCGAAAGAUCGCCCGCUUGCUUGCAAACAAGCAAGAAGAAUCCAGCUAAAGUUCCUAAACGGAUUCACAAAGCUGAAAGGGAAAAAGUAAAGCGUGAACAUUUGAAUGAACUCUUUCUUGAGUUGGCUGGUGCACUUGAACUCACAGAACAAAACAGUGGGAAAGCCUCGGUAUUAGGCGAAACCACUCGAGUUGUAAAGGACAUGAUUGAUCAUUGAUGAAACGUGUACGCUACAAUAACAAAUCAGUGAACUACAGAGCAUGAUAAAAGAGAGAAAUGUCCAAACAAACCUUGAUCUGAAUGCACCCGCGAUCGAAUCGCAAGAACCGCAAUUCCCGACUUAUUUUCCAUUAGAGUGGCUGCAGUUGUAUACAUGGAUUGUGGAUUUAACUAACAACAUAUGUUGAUGGUAUGGCUUACGUUGACAAAAGUCUUCACAAUCUUCCUUCUGCAGUAGCUCCGGUUCAUUAAAGCGCAGCCGGGUGACAAGGUAUGGAAAAAGGCGGUACACACAUUGGAGUUGGCUACCUUAUGAAGAAUCUUACAUAAAGAGUUCAAUGGUAGAUCGGUUCUGGUGACGAAAAUGUUGGUUGUAAUAAAAGCGGAUUCGUUCAAUUUGGCUGAAAAAUAGCUUGAUGGUGUUACCGACGAUUGCAGACGUGGACAAUGAGAGGUUCUAGGGUGUUAAACGGAAUGCUGACGUCUCAAGAGUUGUGCAUGUCAAAUGAUUUUACUAAAGAGUAGGUUAUCGAUCUAAGGUUAGGGUUCAGAUCAUCGUUUUCAGCAGUUAAGUGGAUGGAUAAGGAAGAAAGACUCCUGAUUUGGGCUUCCAUGACUCCACAAAAGUAUGAUGUUGCAAAAAACAUUGAAAGAUUUGGGCAAACAUAAAUGUCAAUCGUCCAGCAAAAGCUUAUAGUGGAAUUUGUAAAGAUUCAAAGUGAUGGUACGCUGGAAGUGGAUUAACAUGCCAAAAGAGCUGGUUACUUCAGGCCUAUAGCGGGAUUAACAUGCCAAAAUACAUAUCGCAGCUGGUGAAGUCUUUCAAGUGGUUUAAGUACAAAAAAUUCAACAAGUUGAAGGCUGGGGCUGAUGUUACGACAAUGGUUCAGGUUAUACAGGGCUGUUAAUGGCCCAUGAAAGUUUUCGGUUCCUGUUGGAUAAGUGUGGUUGCGGGUUCGGUCUGUGGCAGUCUAAGUCUCACCUCUCAAGUGGUGCUUAUAAAAUCCUAUUUCAGCAAAGCCAGUGGGUGUGCCUUAAAGCCAGGGGCAGUUUCGUCUUUAUGGCCUGGGACAAUUUAUUUCCGGGUUUGAUGUUUGUUUUCUGGGGUUUCGCCAUGUCAUGUUGUGUGCUUCGAGUUUACCGUGAUGUCCCGAGUUUGCUGACUUGGUCCGAGUUGCGGCCAUGAUCCGGGGUUACGGCAGUGUUCUGGGUUUGCUGCCUUGUUCCGGGGUUGCUGUCAUGCUCCGGGAUUCCUGUCAGGUCCCGAGCCUUGUUUGGGUUAAUGUAGUGUUAUUCAAGGCCCAUUACAAUGGCCUUGUGCUAUUGCUUAUAGGAUAUUGCCGCGCUUUCGACUCAGGCAGGCUGCUGUUGAAGGCCCACCAGUUGGGUAGAGUGGUAUUCCGAUUGUGAUCAAACAGAAAGGAAUUUGGUCAUCAAGUUUGAUUGGCAACACAUGCAAAUUUAUUUUGGGAUGAAUUGGGUCGAGUUGACCUGGUAGUGAUUUUUGUGUGCAUGUUUUUAAUGAAUUAGUGUGUCAACUAUGAAUGCUUAACAAUAUUAUUACAAUAAUAUAUUUUAAAUUUAUGAAAAAGUUUUAAG
rnacentral:lncRNA from 1 species